UACCUGAUUGAUUCUGUCACCGCGAUAUGCUCAAGUAAAAGAUUAAGCCAUGCAUGCUUUGAUUCAUAAAUGAAAUUGCGUACGGCUCAUUAGAGCAGAUAUCACCUUUCUCGGAAUCCUGAAAAGGAUAACUGCGGAAAUUCUGGAGCUAAUACAUGCGACUAUACUCCAACGCAAGGCGGGGUGCAAUUAUUAGAACAGACCAAACGUUUUCGGACGUUGUUUGUUGACUCUGAAUACCGUCGUUUACUGUCAGUUUCGACUGACUCUAUCCGAGAAGGGUGUCUGCCCUUUCAACUAGAUGGUAAUCUAUUGGACUACCAUGGUUGUUACGGGUAACGGAUAAUUAGGGUUCGACUCCGGAGAGGGAGCCUUAGAAACGGCUACCACGUCCAAGGAAGGCAGCAGGCGCGAAACUUAUCCACUGUUGAGUAUGAGAUAGUGACUAAAAAUAUAAAGACUCAUCCUUUUGGAUGAGUUAUUUCAAUGAGUUGAAUAUAAAUUAUUCUUCGAGUAGCAAGGAGAGGGCAAGUCUGGUGCCAGCAGCCGCGGUAAUUCCAGCUCUCCUAGUGUAUCUCGUUAUUGCUGCGGUUAAAAAGCUCGUAGUUGGAUCUAGGUUACGUGCCGCAGUUCGCAAUUUGCGUUAACUGUGGUCGUGACUUCUAAUUUGCUGGUUUGAGGUUGGGUUCGCCCUUCAACUGCCAGCAGGUUUACCUUGAAUAAAUCAGAGUGCUCAAUACAGGCGCUUGCUUGAAUAGCUCAUCAUGGAAUAAUGAAACAGGACUUCGGUUCUUUUUGUUGGUUCUAGAAUUGAUCUAAUGGUUAAGAGGGACAAACCGGGGGCAUUCGUAUCAUUACGCGAGAGGUGAAAUUCGUGGGACCGUAGUGAGACGCCCAAUAGCGAAAGCAUUUGCCAAGAAUGUCUUCAUUAAUCAAGAACGAAAGUCAGAGGUUCGAAGGCGAUUAGAUACCGCCCUAGUUCUGACCGUAAA
rnacentral:ncRNA from 1 species